UGGGGAAUAUUGGACAAUGGGCGCAAGCCUGAUCCAGCCAUGCCGCGUGAGUGAUGAAGGCCUUAGGGUUGUAAAGCUCUUUCACCGGAGAAGAUAAUGACGGUAUCCGGAGAAGAAGCCCCGGCUAACUUCGUGCCAGCAGCCGCGGUAAUACGAAGGGGGCUAGCGUUGUUCGGAAUUACUGGGCGUAAAGCGCACGUAGGCGGACAUUUAAGUCAGGGGUGAAAUCCCGGGGCUCAACCCCGGAACUGCCUUUGAUACUGGAUGUCUUGAGUGUGGAAGAGGUAAGUGGAAUUGCGAGUGUAGAGGUGAAAUUCGUAGAUAUUCGCAGGAACACCAGUGGCGAAGGCGGCUUACUGGUCCAUUACUGACGCUGAGGUGCGAAAGCGUGGGGAGCAAACA
rnacentral:rRNA from 1 species